rnacentral:rRNA from 1 species
CCUACGGGAGGCAGCAGUUGGGAAUUUUGCACAAUGGACGAAAGUCUGAUGCAGCAACGCCGCGUGCGGGAUGAAGAUUUUCGGAUUGUAAACCGCUUUUUAUUUGGGAGUAACUGUUUGAACGUACCAAAUGAAUAAGCACCGGCUAACUCCGUGCCAGCAGCCGCGGUAAUACGGAGGGUGCAAACGUUGUCCGGAAUUACUGGGCGUAAAGCGCAUGUAGGUGGUCUAAUAAGUGAACGAUUAAAUACCGACGCUUAACGUCGGAAAGGUUAUUCGUACUGUUAGACUCGAGGAAGACAGGGGCAGAUGGAACUUUAAGUGUAGGAGUGACAUCCGUAGAUAUUUAAAGGAACACCAAUGGCGAAGGCAGUCUGCUGGGUCUUUUCUGACACUGAGAUGCGAAAGUGUGGGGAGCAAACGGGAUUAGAUACCCCGGUAGUCCACACUGUAAACGAUGCUCACUAGGUCUUGGAGGGUAUCGACCCCCUUUUGGACCGAAGCUAACGCGUUAAGUGAGCCGCCUGGGAGUACGAACGCAAGUUUAAAACUUAAAGGAAUUGACGG